UAGAGUUUGAUCAUGGCUCAGAGCGAACGCUGGCGGUAUGCUUAACACAUGCAAGUCGAGCGAGAAAGUGGCUUCGGCCACGAGUACAGCGGCGGACGGGUGCGUAACACGUGGAUAAUCUGCCUUCAGGUCUGGGAUAACCCUGGGAAACUAGAGCUAAUACCGGAUAAGACCACAGGUUCCAUGGAACCAAGGGUAAAAGGCGGCCUUCGGGCUGUCUCCUGAAAUGAGUCCGCGUCCCAUCGUUGGGGAGGAACGGCCACCGCCA
rnacentral:rRNA from 1 species